AGUUUACUGUGACCAUCCAAAAGGAAAUUUAAAAGAAACAUAAGAAACAAGUCCCUGAGUGGGUUUCCUGAAGACUGAUGCUUCAGAAAGUUUCCAUAGUCCAGUCACCAGUUGGGCCCAGAAUUCUGAUGUGAAAAGCCUAGAAUGAUCAAAGCGUGAAAGGUCUUUGGACAUGGGACUCCCCAUGCCCACCACGUUUUUCUAGAUCCCUGCUGCUCCCUCAGUGACACUUGCCUCUCUCAUUCCACUCUUCACCUGGACAUAUCUUCCCCUUCAAGAUUCAGCUUGGACCCAAGAUUGCCUUGGUUUUCCCAUUGCAUGUCUCCUCAGUCUCCAGAGCUUCCCUCCAGCAUGCAUGAUUGCAGACCAUAAUGUUAAUGGCAGUGUGCUUUCCUCAUUCAAGGGCAAGCUUCAAGAGGACAGUGGCCAUGACUUUUUCAAGACGAUGAGCCUAGUGCAUGGGGUGGUUCUAACGACACAGACUGUCUGGUUGGAAGAACAAAUGAUUGAGUUAUUGACUGAGCCAAGUAUUAUUAACCCCCAAUUUUCAGAUAAGAAAAAUGAGGCUCAGAGAGGAUAAAUGGUCACCCUGUAGAGUAGAUUUUUUUCUAGCAGAUCUAGGAUUUGAACCACAUUGUUCUUGUUCUCAUAGUUGCUCUCAACAAAAGUGGGAGAGUCCUGAAGUCCCAUGUCCAUUUUCUCCAGCCUCAUAUAGACCUUUGUUGGUCUAUAGCAAGAAAGCACUACUGAAAAACAAAGGCCUCAAAGCAUGUAAGGCCAGCCCAUGGUGCAGGGGCUAGAAAUUAGCCUGGAGCUGAGGAGCAUCCAGAACCUCCGCUAAGGGCAGAGAUGAGGUUGAUUCAACAUGGAUUUUCUGAGUGUUUGCUGUGUGUUUCACCCAUGCUGUAAGCCGUGGGGAGUUUGGAGAUGGGCAGCAGAUACAGCUUGACCCUCAGUCUGCCUACCAGUUCUUCAAGGCUACUUAAGGGACAUGCACAUAUGGCUGAAACAACCUUAAAUCAGAGGAGGCAGACAAGUGGAAGAGAAAAGCCCCUGGCUGGAACUGGAAGGCCUGCCUUUCUCCCCCAUGACCUUUAGGGAACCACUUAUUUCCCUCUGAGAGUUUUAGUUUCCACACCUGCAAAAUUUAGCAAAUGGACUGGCCUCAGGGAAGUCAGCAGGCCUGAUGUGAUUCCCAGUUUGUUUUCAUUCUGCUUGUACGUUAGGGACUGA